UGCAAGUCGAGCGAGCUGAAUUCAAAGAUCCCUUCGGGGUGAUUUGUUGGACGCUAGCGGCGGAUGGGUGAGUAACACGUGGGCAAUCUGCCCUAAAGACUGGGAUACCACUUGGAAACAGGUGCUAAUACCGGAUAACAACAUGAAUCGCAUGAUUCAAGUUUGAAAGGCGGCGCAAGCUGUCACUUUAGGAUGAGCCCGCGGCGCAUUAGCUAGUUGGUGGGGUAAAGGCCUACCAAGGCAAUGAUGCGUAGCCGAGUUGAGAGACUGAUCGGCCACAUUGGGACUGAGACACGGCCCAAACUCCUACGGGAGGCAGCAGUAGGGAAUCUUCCACAAUGGACGCAAGUCUGAUGGAGCAACGCCGCGUGAGUGAAGAAGGUUUUCGGAUCGUAAAGCUCUGUUGUUGGUGAAGAAGGAUAGAGGCAGUAACUGGUCUUUAUUUGACGGUAAUCAACCAGAAAGUCACGGCUAACUACGUGCCAGCAGCC
rnacentral:rRNA from 1 species